UGGCGAAGGCGCCCGGCCAAAAACGUGUCCGACGUGAGGGACCUGUAAGCUGUGGGGAGCGAAACGGGAUUAGAUACCCCGGUAGUCCCAGCUGUGAAAUGAUGCGGACUGUGGUGUUGCUUCAGAGUUAAUCUGCAGCAGUGCUGUAGCGUAGGUGUUUAAGUCCGCCGCCUGGGGAGUACGGUCGCAAGAUGUGAAACUUAAAGGAAUUCGGCGGGGGAGCACCACAAGGGGUGGAUGCUACGGUUUAAUUGGAUACAACGCCGUGAACUUCACCAAGGGCGACGGCAGAAUGAAGGCCAGAUAAAGAUCUUGCCUAACAAGCCGAGAGGUGUUGCAUGGCCAUCGUCAGCUCGUGGCGUGAGUUGUCUGGUUAAGUCCAGCAACGAGCGAGACCCAUGCUGUUAAUUGCUACUUUCAUCUUCAAUGAGAGGCACCUUAACAGGACUGCCCGCGUUAAGUGGGAGGAAGGAGUGGGCGACGGUAGGUCAGUAUGGCCCGAAUCCCUUGGGCUACACGCGGCAUACAAUGGCUGGAACAAUGGGUUGCUACUUCGAAAGGAGGCGCCAAUCCCCUAAAUCCAGCCU
rnacentral:rRNA from 1 species